rnacentral:rRNA from 1 species
CAAUAGCGUAUAUUAAAGUUGUUGCAGUUAAAAAGCUCGUAGUUGGAUUUCUGGUGGGAGCGAUCGGUCUGGCGCUUAGCGCGAGUACUUGCAUCGUCUCCGGCCAUCCUUGGGGAGAGUCUGUCUGGCAUUAGGUUGUCGGGCAGAGGAUCCUCAUCGUUUACUGUGAAAAAAUUAGAGUGUUCAAAGCAGGCUUAUGCCGUUGAAUAUAUUAGCAUGGAAUAAUAAGAUAGGACUUUGGUACUAUUUUGUUGGUUUGCGCACCAAAGUAAUGAUUAAUAGGGACAGUUGGGGGGUAUUCGUAUUCCGUUGUCAGAGGUGAAAUUCUUGGAUUUACGGAAGACGAACUACUGCGAAAGCAUUUACCAAGGAUGUUUUCAUUAA